rnacentral:rRNA from 1 species
ACGGGUGAGUAACGCGUGGGUAACCUGCCUUAUACAGGGGGAGUAACAGUCAGAAAUGGCUGCUAAUACCGCAUAAGCGCACAGAGCUGCAUGGCUCAGUGUGAAAAACUCCGGUGGUAUAAGAUGGACCCGCGUUGGAUUAGCUUGUUGGCAGGGUAACGGCCUACCAAGGCGACGAUCCAUAGCCGGCCUGAGAGGGUGAACGGCCACAUUGGGACUGAGACACGGCCCAGACUCCUACGGGAGGCAGCAUG